rnacentral:misc_RNA from 1 species
AACGCACAUUGCGCCCGCCAGCACUCUGGCGGGCAUGCCUGUCCGAGCGUCAUCGCAACCCUCGCGGCCCCCACGGGGGCGCGGUGCUGGGGGCCGGCCUGGGCCGCCCCCGAAACGCAGUGGCGACCUCGCCGCGGCCUCCCCUGCGCAGUAGCACACCUCUCGCACCGGAGCGCGGAGACGGUCACGCCGUAAAACGCCCCAGCUCUUGAAGUUGACCUCGGAUCAGGUAGGACUACCCGCUGAACUUAA